UGCAAGUGAACUUCUGUGUCGGUCUAGGCAACACUAUAUCAUCAAAAUGCACCUAACUUUAAACAUGCACAGUGAUUUCUUUUUGAGGAAAACAUCAUUUGGAUGUUUUGAUUGAUAGUUGAAUGCGUCCUAUCGGCGGAAAUGAAAUAUGUUUUUCUUUUACAAUUAAUACAAAAGAAAACUUGGGUUCUGAUUGUGUGUGCUUAUCGUUAGGAUAUCUGAGAUCUAAAAGGAGGUAAGCCACUGACUAACGCACAUUGUGCCAGUUACCAUAUCCACUGUGCGUGUGACAGCGGCUAACCUGGUUUUGGGAACACUUCUCAUCUGUGGCUCGUCCGAGACCAGCCACAGGCAGACCAGACACCUCCAUCUAUAAGCAGUCCCCCUUGAUCAUGUCCCGUGCAGAUUGCUGGGACAGGCCUGCUAAACAUGACUGCCCACCCAGCGGCCUCCAUGUGUAGUGUAGCCUACUUUCUCUUAUACAGUAUGUUCACAUCCUGUAUCUUAUUCAGGGCCAGUGUCCUUGCAAUGCCGCCUACUGUCAAGACUAUUGGUGAGUGUUUUAUUUCAGUUUCUUUUUCAGCUUUGUGGUUUAGACAUGACAAUCAUCGGCCAUUCUGGUUCCCAUUUUGAGGUCAGGGGAUUCUUGAAGAAGUUCCUCGGGUGCCCUCCAGCUAAAAUGAGCAUUAUACGAUAAACACACAGAACUUACAGUUAUACAGUAAUGUGUCCACCCCUUUACAGUAAAAUAAGCUGUUUUCCAGUUUGUAUACAAGUGUGUCGCCUGUAAUAAAAUCCAAGUCAAUUGUAUCCAAA